CCUACGGGAGGCAGCAGUGGGGAAUAUUGGACAAUGGGGGAAACCCUGAUCCAGCGACGCCGCGUGAGUGAAGAAGUAUUUCGGUACGUAAAGCUCUAUCAGCAGGAAAGAAAAUGACGGUACCUGACUAAGAAGCCCCGGCUAACUACGUGCCAGCAGCCGCGGUAAUACGUAGGGGGCAAGCGUUAUCCGGAUUUACUGGGGGUAAAGGGAGCGUAGACGGCAGCGCAAGUCUGGAGUGAAAUGGCGGGGCCCAACCCCGGAACUGCCCUGGAAACUGUAUAGCUUGAGUACUGGAGAGGCAGGCUGAAUUCCUGGUGUAGCGGUGAAAUGCGUAGAUAUUAGGAGGAACACCAGUGGCGAAGGCGGCCCGCUGGACAGAAACUGACGUUGAGGCUCGAAAGCGUGGGGAGCAAACAGGAUUAGAUACCCUUGUAGUC
rnacentral:rRNA from 1 species